AGAGUUUGAUCUUGGCUCAGAACGAACACUGGCGGCGUGCCUAAUACAUGCAAGUCGAACGCGAAAGUUCCCGCAAGGGAGCGAGUAGAGUGGCAAACGGGUGAGUAACGCGUAAGCAAUCUUCCCUCUAGUUGGGGACAACUCUGAUAACUUGGAGCUAAUACCGAGUAUAGUAACGGACUCGCAUUUGUCUGUUACAAAAGAGGCAGCAAUGUCUCGCUGGAGGAUGAGCUUGCGUUCCAUUAGCUAGUUGGCGGGGUAACGGCCCACCAAGGCGAUGAUGGAUAGCCGGCCUGAGAGGGUGUACGGCCACACUGGGACUGAGAUACGGCCCAGACUCCUACGGGAGGCAGCAGUAGGGAAUAUUGCGCAAUGGGCGAAAGCCUGACGCAGCGACGCCGCGUGGACGAUGAAGUUCUUCGGAAUGUAAAGUCCUGUCAGGAGGGAAGAAAACCUUGGGUGUUAAAUUCAAGGCUGACGGUACCUCCAGAGGAAGCUACGGCUAACUUCGUGCCAGCAGCCGCGGUAAUACGGGGGUAGCGAGUGUUGUUCGGAUUUACUGGGCGUAAAGGGAGCGCAGGCGGUAAGAUAAGUCAGGAGUGAAAGGUUGGGGCUUAACCCCAAUUCUGCUUUUGAUACUGUCUUGCUAGAGUAUGCGAGAGGAGGAUGGAAUUCUAGGUGUAGCGGUGGAAUGUGUAGAUAUCUAGAAGAACACCGAUUGCGAAGGCAGUCCUCUGGUGCAAUACUGACGCUCAAGCUCGAAAGCUAGGGGAGCAAACAGGAUUAGAUACCCUGGUAGUCCUAGCCCUAAACGAUGGUCACUAGGUGUUGGGAGAGUCAACCCUCUCAGCGCCGAAGCUAACGCAUUAAGUGACCCGCCUGGGGAGUACGGUCGCAAGGCUGAAACUCAAAAGAAUUGACGGGGGCCCGCACAAGCGGUGGAGCAUGUGGUUCAAUUCGACGAUACGCGAAAAACCUUACCUGGGUUUGACAUGGAAGGGAAGAUUUCCAGAGAUGGGAAUUGUCUCGCAAGAGACCCUUCACACAGGUGCUGCAUGGCUGUCGUCAGCUCGUGUCGUGAGAUGUUGGGUUAAGUCCCGCAACGAGCGCAACCCUUGUUUGUAGUUGCCAACAGUUCGGCUGGGCACUCUACGAAGACUGCCCCGUAUAACGGGGAGGAAGGUGGGGAUGACGUCAAGUCCUCAUGGCCCUUACAUCCAGGGCAACACACGUUCUACAAUGGGCUGUACAAAGAGUCGCAAAAUCGCAAGGUGGAGCUAAUCUCAAAAAGCAGCUCUCAGUUCGGAUUGGAGUCUGCAACUCGACUCCAUGAAGCUGGAAUCGCUAGUAAUCGCGGAUCAGCAGGCCGCGGUGAAUACGUUAUCGGGCCUUGUACACACCGCCCGUCAAGCCAUGAAAGGCAGGGGUACUCGAAGUAGUUGCCUUAACCCGCAAGGGGGAGGCGCUCCUAAAGUAAAACUGCUGAUUGGGGCUAAGUCGUAACAAGGUA
rnacentral:rRNA from 1 species